UAGCAGGUAGUAUAAGUUGGAAGUACGGAAUAUUUUGAGUUUUCUGAUGUUGGUUCGAACCCUUCUCUGCUAA
rnacentral:tRNA from 1 species